UACGUAGGGUGCGAGCGUUAAUCGGAAUUACUGGGCGUAAAGAGCGCGCAGGCGGUCUUGUAAGUCGAGUGUGAAAGCCCCUGGCUCAACCAGGGAGGGUCAUUCGAUACUGCUUGACUCGAAGGCAGGAGAGGGAAGUGGAAUUCCGGGUGUAGUGGUGAAAUGCGUAGAUAUCCGGAGGAACACCAGUGGCGAAGGCGACUUUCUGGCCUGUUCUUGACGCUGAGGCGCGAAAGCUAGGGGAGCAAACGGG
rnacentral:rRNA from 1 species